GGCACUAGGUUUGCGUGUGAGAAGAUAAAAAAAGCAACUCCAGAGUUUGAGAAGAUAAAAAAAAGGUCACCGCAUUAUUUUCCCAAUAUAAAUUUUACUUUUUAACAUAGUCUAGGAAACACUUUUGCUUCUGCAGGAAACCUAUAUCUUAACUCCACACCAGCAACAAAUUUUACUUUGACACUGCCAUCAAAAAGUUCACAAGCAGUGCAGCAGGAGAGGUUUUCACGCAUGUUGAUACCAUGAAAGGGAUAAAA